rnacentral:rRNA from 1 species
CCCAGUAAACGGCGGCCGUAACUAUAACGGUCCUAAGGUAGCGAAAUUCCUUGUCAGGUAAGUUCUGACCCGCACGAAAGGCGUAACGAUUUGGGCGCUGUCUCGGCAGCAGACUCGGUGAAAUCUUAGUACCUGUGAAAAUGCAGGUUACCCGCAACUAGACGGAAAGACCCCAUGGAGCUUUACUGUAGCCUGAUAUUGAAUUUUGAUCAAAGAUGUACAGGAUAGGUGGGAGGCUGUGAGACGUGUACGCCAGUAUACGAGGAGCCGCUGUUGGGAUACCACUCUUGUUUGAUUGAAGUUCUAACCUGCACCCAUGAACUGGGUGAGGGACCGUGUCAGGUGGGCAGUUUGACUGGGGCGGUCGCCUCCUAAAGAGUAACGGAGGCGCCCAAAGGUACGCUCAGAUUGGAUGGAAAUCAAUCGACGAGUGCAAAUGCAGAAGCGUGCUUGACUGUGAGACAAACAAGUCGAACAGGGACGAAAGUCGGGAUUAGUGAUCCGGCGGUGCCGAAUGGAAGGGCCGUCGCUCAACGGAUAAAAGCUACCCUGGGGAUAACAGGCUGAUCUCGCCCAAGAGUUCACAUCGACGGCGAGGUUUGGCACCUCGAUGUCGGCUCAUCGCAUCCUGGGGCUGAAGUAGGUCCCAAGGGUUGGGCUGUUCGCCCAUUAAAGCGGUACGCGAGCUGGGUUCAGAACGUCGUGAGACAGUUCGGUCCCUAUCUGUUGUGGGCGUUGGAGAUCUGAGGAGAGCUGUCCUUAGUACGAGAGGACCGGGAUGGACCUACCGCUGGUGCACCAGUUGUUCCGCCAGGAGCAUAGCUGGGUAGCUAAGUAGGGAAGGGAUAAGCGCUGAAAGCAUCUAAGCGCGAAGCCUACUCCAAGAUGAGAUCUCCCAUUCGUAAAACGAAGUAAGACCCCUUGAAGACGACGAGGUGGAUAGGUCAGAGAUGGAAGUGUAGCGAUACAUGGAGUUGACUGAUACUAAUAGGUCGAGGACUUAAUCAC